AAGGUCACACAGCCCAGAGGGACCCUGCGGGCCUGGAGCCCAGGCAGGGGACCUGGGUGGGUCGGGCCCUUGCCCAACACAGGAAGUCCGAGGUGGUGGCAGCUUUGGAAAUAACUCGAAGACAGGACACAACUGCUCUGACCCCAGCAUCUCAUCACGUGUCCCCAGCAUCGCCCAGAGUCUAUUUAGGGGCUUCCCUGGUGGCACAGUGGUUAAGAAUACACCUACCAAUGCAGGGGACACGGGUUCGAGCCCUGGUCCGGGAAGAUCCCACAUGCCGCGGAGCAACUAAGCCCGUGCGCCACAACUACCGAGCCUGCGCUGUAGAGCCCGCGAGCCACAGCUACUGAGCCCACGUGCCACAACUACUGAAGCCCGCGCAUCUACAGCCCGUCCUCCGCAACAAGAGAAGCCACCGCAAUGAGAAGCCCGUGCACUGCGAUGAAGAGUAGCCCCCGCUCGCCGCAACUAGAGAAAGCCUGCGUGCAGCAACGAAGACCCAACGGAACCAAAAAUUAAUUAAUUAAUUUUUUAAAAUAGUCUAUUUAAAAUUUAGUGCAAAAAACUCCAUGAAACUCUUAAAUCAGGGACUUCCCGCGGGGUCCAGUGGUUAGGACUCCAAGCUUCCACUGCAGAGGGCAUGGGUUCAAUACCUGGCUGGGGAACUGAGAUCCUGCAUACCGUGCAGCAUGGCCAAACAUUUUUAAUAUUUUUUUAAAUUAAAAGAAAAAUCUUAAAUCAAGACACGCUUUGACCCAGCACCUGUGCAGCUGUGAGAGGAAGGACCCUAACUCCACGUCUGGCCCUGGAAGGAUCACUUGCUCAUCUCUGUCCUGUGAGGAGAGGCAGACGUGUGAACAAGGAAGCGUGAUCUGCUCACAGCACGCCUCCCAGGAGUGACCACCAGCUCCUCAAGACAUUCUUUCUGGUGUUUUUUUCUAGGCACAAAGCCAACGCAUGAAUGUCAGUUUCCCAUCCCUAAAACUAACAUCUAUCGAUUGUUAUUGAUUAUCUCUGUGC